AGAGUGAACGCUGGCGGCGUGCUUAACACAUGCAAGUCGAGCGAGGUUACAGCUGUAGCAAUACAGUAUGUGCCUAGCGGCAGACGGGUGAGUAACACGUAGGGAACCUUCCUCUUUGCGGGGGAUAGCUAGCCGAAAGGUUAGGUAAUACCGCGUACGAUUCUUUUUCGGCAUCGAGAGAGAAUGAAACAUCCGUAAGGAUGGCAGAGAGAGGGCCCUGCGGCCUAUCAGCUAGUUGGUGAGGUAACGGCUCACCAAGGCUACGACGGGUAACCGCCUGAAAGGCGAUCGGUCACACUGACACUGAGACACGGGUCAGACACCGUACGGGUGCAGCAGUGAGGAAUCGUAGGACAAGGUGGGGGACCAACCCGUAGACUCCGAGCGACGCCGCGGUGGGACGGACGAAGGUCUUCGGAUUGUAAACUCGUUUUGUACGGUAAUAAGAAUCUAGUAGAAACAUAGAGAGUAGAA
rnacentral:rRNA from 1 species